AGUGAACGCUGGCGGCAGGCCUAAUACAUGCAAGUCGAACGGCAGCACAGCAGAGCUUGCUCUGUGGGUGGCGAGUGGGCGGACGGGUGAGGAAUACGUGGGAAUCUGCCCAGUCGUGGGGGAUAACGUAGGGAAACUUACGCUAAUACCGCAUGCACCCUUCGGGGGAAAGCCGGGGGACCUUCGGGCCUGGCGCGAUUGGAUGAGCCCACGUCGGAUUAGCUAGUUGGCGGGGUAAAGGCCCACCAAGGCGACGAUCCGUAGCUGGUCUGAGAGGAUGAUCAGCCACACUGGAACUGAGACACGGUCCAGACUCCUACGGGAGGCAGCAGUAGGGAAUAUUGGACAAUGGGCGCAAGCCUGAUCCAGCCAUGCCGCGUGAGUGAAGAAGGCCCUCGGGUUGUAAAGCUCUUUUGUCCGGAAAGAAAGCGCCGGGUUAAUACCCUGGUGUCCUGACGGUACCGGAGAAUAAGCACCGGCUAACUCGUGCCAGCAGCCGCGGU
rnacentral:rRNA from 1 species